AUUGAACGCUGGCGGCAGGCCUAACACAUGCAAGUCGAGCGGAUGAAGGGAGCUUGCUCCUGGAUUCAGCGGCGGACGGGUGAGUAAUGCCUAGGAAUCUGCCUGGUAGUGGGGGAUAACGUCCGGAAACGGGCGCUAAUACCGCAUACGUCCUGAGGGAGGAAGUGGGGGAUCUUCAGACCUCACGCUAUCAGAUGAGCCUAGGUCGGAUUAGCUAGUUGGUGGGGUAAAGGCCUACCAAGGCGACGAUCCGUAACUGGUCUGAGAGGAUGAUCAGUCACACUGGAACUGAGACACGGUCCAGACUCCUACGGGAGGCAGCAGUGGGGAAUAUUGGACAAUGGGCGAAAGCCUGAUCCAGCCAUGCCGCGUGUGUGAAGAAGGUCUUCGGAUUGUAAAGCACUUUAAGUUGGGAGGAAGGGCAGUAAGUUAAUACCUUGCUGUUUUGACGUUACCAACAGAAUAAGCACCGGCUAACUUCGUG
rnacentral:rRNA from 1 species